UACGAAGGAUGCAAGCGUUAUCCGGAUUUAUUGGGUUUAAAGGGUGCGUAGGCGGACUUAUAAGUCAGUGGUGAAAUCUCGUUGCUUAACAACGAACGUGCCAUUGAUACUGUAGGUCUUGAGUACAGAUGCCGUUGGCGGAAUGUGACAUGUAGCGGUGAAAUGCAUAGAUAUGACACAGAACACCGAUUGCGAAGGCAGCUGACGAAACUGUAACUGACGCUGAGGCACGAAAGCGUGGGGAUCAAACAGG
rnacentral:rRNA from 1 species